rnacentral:rRNA from 1 species
AUUGAACGCUGGCGGCAGGCUUAACACAUGCAAGUCGAGCGGGGGAAGGUAGCUUGCUACCGGACCUAGCGGCGGACGGGUGAGUAAUGCUUAGGAAUCUGCCUAUUAGUGGGGGACAACAUCUCGAAAGGGAUGCUAAUACCGCGUACGUCCUACGGGAGAAAGCAGGGGAUCUUCGGACCUUGCGCUAAUAGAUGAGCCUAAGUCGGAUUAGCUAGGUGGUGGGGUAAAGGCCUACCAAGGCGACGAUCUGUAGCGGGUCUGAGAGGAUGAUCCGCCACACUGGGACUGAGACACGGCCCAGACUCCUACGGGAGGCAGCAGUGGGGAAUAUUGGACAAUGGGGGGAACCCUGAUCCAGCCAUGCCGCGUGUGUGAAGAAGGCCUUAUGGUUGUAAAGCACUUUAAGCGAGGAGGAGGCUACUUUAGUUAAUACCUAGAGAUAGUGGACGUUACUCGCAGAAUAAGCACCGGCUAACUCUGUGCCAGCCGCCGCAGUAA